CGUAGGGUGCGAGCGUUACUCGGAAUUACUGGGCGUAAAGCGUGCGCAGGCGGUCCGCAAAGUCUGAUGUGAAAGCCCCGGGCUCAACCUGGGAACUGCAUUGGAAACUAACGGGCUCGAGUGUGGCAGAGGGGGGUGGAAUUCCACGUGUAGCAGUGAAAUGCGUAGAGAUGUGGAGGAACACCGAUGGCGAAGGCAGCCCCCUGGGCUAACACUGACGCUCAGGCACGAAAGCGUGGGGAGCAAACAGG
rnacentral:rRNA from 1 species